ensembl:lncRNA
CAUCUUUCCUUAAAACAAAAUUGUUUGCUCCCUGGCUGCCUUAUCCUGCCACAAGUAAUUCUUGGUCUAUGCCUUUAUUUGCAUAUCAUGCUGGGACUGACUGAGAGGUCUCCUAAGGAACGCACAUUUUCCUUAGAUAUCUAUGAGGAGAAUUUGAUGACCACGACCUUAUCCUUUUCUGCUGCUUCUCUGUUGCUGCCCAUGCACAUCCCCUGAUGCACAGCAUGUAUCCCUUCAUCUUGAUCAUCACUGGAAAAGGCGAGAGUGUACAAAGUUAAACAGCAAAAAUAUAGCUGACGCUUGUCUUCUUUCUCUCUCCACAAACACAGACACGAAUUCUCUCUAGUUUCUCCAGGGGGUGAUAACAGCAAGGCUCCUUCCCUCUGGAAACAUAUACAAUUUUGCUGGAGUAAUAAAAACACCAAAGAG